rnacentral:lncRNA from 1 species
UAAUUGCGAGCAUUUGCGAGGAACCCGCUUUGAAGGCAUUGAUUUUUGCAUAGGUGCCACAUACUGGGGGCUGUGGUUUGUUGUGAAAAAGUCCCCAUUAAAUAGCUUUUCAUAUUUCAGUUUUCUAGGUGUUUAUUUUGGUUCUGCUUGUGGGAUAAAAAUCAGAAGCCUCUUCUUCAUCCUCCCUUGAUUAUUAUCAUUGAUUCUACUGGUUUGCCUUCAGUUUUGUUUUGUGAGAAUUACGCCACCACCAUUAUUGGUUUUGUAUUUCCCCAUAAGUUGAACAAUCUGUGUGUGUGACAUAGGGGAGAAGAGAGGUACUUUCUUUUCAGCCAAACAACAUAUUAAAGGACCAUUUGAGUCACAUUCUGAACCUAUUUAUGUAUCCAAAAACAU